GUUUCCAUUACAAACUGGCAAGAAUAGUGCUCACCUCCUGGUGUCCUUGUGUGGAAUCCACAAAAUCAUGAAUUCAGUAUAUGUUAACGGCGGACCUACAAUGUCACAGGCACUGAUGAUGUAGAGGUCCAUGAGGCAAGUAUUACUAUUGUCCCCAUUUCACAGACAAGAAAACUGAGGCACAAAAGAUGUAUAACUUCCCCCAAGGCCACACUGCUGACCAGCCGAAUGCAUAUAAAGCACUCAGCCCAGUUCUGGCUCAACCCAUGACACCAUUUCCCCUUCUUUCCUGUAUCUGCCAAAGGGUCUUCGUCCAGCAGGGGAACCAGAGGCUGUGCCAGGAGCCAGCUAGAAGUCCCCCGAAAGUCUCCUCUGGCCCAUCAGGAGAAUUGCCCACCUCAGAGCUCUCUGGAUCAUAACCUACUGCUGUAACCUCAGCACCUUACCUACAGACCUGGAGGUAGGGAGGAGGGUCACAAUGUCUUUAAAUGGAUUUUAGAAAAACUUAAAUAAAACAAAAGUAUACGGAAUAAUAUAACAAGGCCCCAUAUAUCUAUCACCCAGCUUCAACGAUCAUUAGCUCAUGGCCAAUCUCCUUUCAUCUAUACCCCUCAAUUUUCCCCUCCUAUUU